rnacentral:rRNA from 1 species
AUUGAACGCUGGCGGCAUGCUUUACACAUGCAAGUCGAACGGUAACAGGUUAAGCUGACGAGUGGCGAACGGGUGAGUAAUGCAUCGGAACGUGCCCGAUCGUGGGGGAUAACGCAGCGAAAGCUGCGCUAAUACCGCAUACGAUCUGAGGAUGAAAGCGGGGGACCGUAAGGCCUCGCGCGAUCGGAGCGGCCGAUGUCAGAUUAGGUAGUUGGUGGGGUAGAGGCCCACCAAGCCGACGAUCUGUAGCUGGUCUGAGAGGACGACCAGCCACCCUGGGACUGGGACACGGCCCAGACUCCUACGGGAGGCAGCAGUGGGGAAUUUUGGACAAUGGGCGAAAGCCUGAUCCAGCAAUGCCGCGUGCAGGAAGAAGGCCUUCGGGUUGUAAACUGCUUUUGUACGGAGCGAAAAGGUCCUUUCUAAUACAAGGGGCUCAUGACGGUACCGUAAGAAUAAGCACCGGCUAACUACGUGCCAGCCGCCGCAGUAA